UGCUAAAGACAAAAUGAUGAAUGGAG
rnacentral:piRNA from 1 species